rnacentral:lncRNA from 1 species
AAGGAGAGCACCCUUGUGAGGGGAGGAGAUGGCAGCUGGUUAACAUUUAACCACCAGCUCUCAAGGGCAAGCUUUGAUCUGUCGCAUCUGACCACUCUCAGUACGCGGACACUUGUGUUCUGGCUCUCUUCUCUGGAGCACAGAUGACAGCGGACAUGGUACAAUGGUCAGGAAAGGCGCUGGCCUGGAUCUUGCAGACUGGGAAGACCUCAAGCUCACAAAAAUGAAAUGAUUUAUUAAGAAAAGGGUGGAGAGAUGACUCAGCGGUUAAAAGCACUGGCUGCUCUUCCAGAGGACCUGAGUUCAAUUCCCAGCAACCACAUAGUGGCUAACAACCAUCUGUAAUGAGAUCUGAUGCCCACUUCAACAGUGUACUUACAUAUACAGUAGGAGCCUGGAGAGAACUUCGAGCAAGGAAACCGCCCCAGCUGUGCACGGGCUCGGGGCAGCUGUGCGGUGAGUCAGUGGGUCAGUGU